ACCAACUUUAAAACACCGGUCCCCGUAAGAUCACCUAAGUUAAGCAACGUCGAGCUUGGUCGGUACCUAGAUGGGUGAUCGCUUGGAAAUGC